rnacentral:tRNA from 1 species
CGAAGUGUAGCUUAAACAAAAGCAUCUGGCUUACACCCAGAAGAUUUCAACCCAACAGACCACUUCGA